rnacentral:rRNA from 1 species
CAAUGGGGGCAACCCUGAUCCAGCAAUGCCGCGUGUGUGAAGAAGGCCUUCGGGUUGUAAAGCACUUUUGUCAGGGAAGAAACGGUGAAGGCUAAUAUCCUUUGCUAAUGACGGUACCUGAAGAAUAAGGACCGGCUAACUACGUGCCAGCAGCCGCGGUAAUACGUAGGGUCCAAGCGUUAAUCGGAAUUACUGGGCGUAAAGCGUGCGCAGGCGGUUGUGUAAGUCAGAUGUGAAAUCCCCGGGCUUAACCUGGGAAUGGCAUUUGAGACUGCACGGCUAGAGUGUGGCAGAGGGGGGUAGAAUGCCACGUGUAGCAGUGAAAUGCGUAGAGAUGUGGAGGAAUACCG